GGAGAAGCCAGACUGGAAGGAGGAAAUCGAGGUGCCGGGUGAAGGCUACUGAAGAAGUUUGAAAAAGUUCGGUGGCGUAAUGAAAGAGGAAGAAGCUUAUUUCAGAUGAACCAGACCAGGGCGUCAAGUUCAGGAGUCAAGUUCAGGAGUCAGGACAGCAGUGGUUCGGAGCCAAGCCCUGGCAUCCAGUGAAGCAAGGUAGAGGAUGGCCUUGGCCAUGAACCCCUCUGCCUACUGGUGCUCCACCAGGCCCCGACCCAAGGCCUCCGUGUCUCGUUCUAUACCAUCUCCAGCCACUCCCCUGCACCUCCAGCUUCAGCGGCAUCUGUAGACAAGAGACCCCCACUCAGACACCUGGUCCUCUGUAAUGUGUCCCAUCUCAGGACGUGGCAGCCAUUCCAUUCUCAAGCUGGAAGCCUAGGACCCAGCCAGGACACCUCCUUUCCCAUGUCACUGAUGGCCCAUCUCUACCAGAAUGUUAAGAAAGUUGAAAAGAUCAUAAGACCCCUUCUGAGGUUGGCCAAAUAAUGGUACCCAAAGACGUCCUGUUGUAAUCUCCAAGGGAUGACUAAUUUCUCUAACAGCUACCUAUUGGACACCUACCAAGGCUGGCACUGAUAUAGACCCAAGAGGAGCAGUGGUAAACUUCUUGAUCCUCAACAAUGCUGUGAAGCAAUUAAAAACACACCCUCCUAAGUUUUCAAAACAUGUCUGUUUUCUCUC